UCUGGGAGGGAAGGCUCAGCCACAUUGAUUUCUACACUUGAUGUGUAUUGCUUAAUAUUGCUGAGCAAUAUUUUUAGAACUACAUGGAGCUUAGGAAAAAAAAAAUCACAGGAGUUGGCAGGUCUGGCUAGAAAUACGCUUCUCCC